UACGUAGGGCGCAAGCGUUGUCCGGAAUUAUUGGGCGUAAAGAGCUCGUAGGCGGCUUGUCACGUCGGGUGUGAAAGCCCGGGGCUUAACCCCGGGUCUGCAUUCGAUACGGGCUAGCUAGAGUGUGGUAGGGGGAGAUCGGAAUUCCUGGUGUAGCGGUGAAAAUGCGCAGAUAUCAGGAGGAACACCGGUGGCGAAGGCGGAUCUCUGGGCCAUUACUGACGUGAGGAGCGAAAGCGUGGGGGAGCGAACAGG
rnacentral:rRNA from 1 species